AAUACUGGAUAUGAGCUUCUACCGCAUGGUGGGGGUUGGAAAGAUUUUUCGGUCUGGGAUGGGCUCGCGGCCUAUCAGCUUGUUGGUGAGGUAAUGGCUCACCAAGGCGUCGACGGGUAGCCGGCCUGAGAGGGUGACCGGCCACACUGGGACUGAGACACGGCCCAGACUCCUACGGGAGGCAGCAGUGGGGAAUAUUGCACAAUGGGCGGAAGCCUGAUGCAGCAACGCCGCGUGAGGGAUGACGGCCUUCGGGUUGUAAACCUCUUUUAGCAAGGAAGAAGCGAAAGUGACGGUACUUGCAGAAAAAGCGCCGGCUAACUACGUGCCAGCAGCCGCGGUAAUACGUAGGGCGCAAGCGUUAUCCGGAAUUAUUGGGCGUAAAGAGCUCGUAGGCGGUUUGUCGCGUCUGCUGUGAAAUCCCGAGGCUCAACCUCGGGCCUGCAGUGGGUACGGGCAGACUAGAGUGCGGUAGGGGAGAUUGGAAUUCCUGGUGUAGCGGUGGAAUGCGCAGAUAUCAGGAGGAACACCGAUGGCGAAGGCAGAUCUCUGGGCCGUAACUGACGCUGAGGAGCGAAAGGGUGGGGAGCAAACAGGCUUAGAUACCCUGGUAGUCCACCCCGUAAACGUUGGGAACUAGUUGUGGGGUCCUUUCCACGGAUUCCGUGACGCAGCUAACGCAUUAAGUUCCCCGCCUGGGGAGUACGGCCGCAAGGCUAAAACUCAAAGGAAUUGACGGGGACCCGCACAAGCGGCGGAGCAUGCGGAUUAAUUCGAUGCAACGCGAAGAACCUUACCAAGGCUUGACAUACACGAGAACACUCUAGAAAUAGGGGACUCUUUGGACACUCGUGAACAGGUGGUGCAUGGUUGUCGUCAGCUCGUGUCGUGAGAUGUUGGGUUAAGUCCCGCAACGAGCGCAACCCUCGUUCUAUGUUGCCAGCACGUAAUGGUGGGAACUCAUGGGAUACUGCCGGGGUCAACUCGGAGGAAGGUGGGGAUGACGUCAAAUCAUCAUGCCCCUUAUGUCUUGGGCUUCACGCAUGCUACAAUGGCCGGUACAAAGGGCUGCAAUACCGUGAGGUGGAGCGAAUCCCAAAAAGCCGGUCCCAGUUCGGAUUGAGGUCUGCAACUCGACCUCAUGAAGUCGGAGUCGCUAGUAAUCGCAGAUCAGCAACGCUGCGGUGAAUACGUUCCCGGGUCUUGUACA
rnacentral:rRNA from 1 species